ACUAGCCCUUCAGACUGAAGUGUUCUCUUCAGCCACACAACACACAGCACACAGGCUGCAGAAGCUUACUCUACACUCCAUUUCAGCAACAUGCCUCAGUGCUGGCCUGAAGGGACCUCACAUAGGGAGGACAGGGGAGUUCAGUCUCCAGGAUCCAUUAAUUCCCUGGCCUCC
rnacentral:sRNA from 1 species